rnacentral:tRNA from 1 species
GCCUUCAUGGUGUAACGGUAGCACGCUCGACGCAUAAUCGAGAGGCCCAGGUUCCAGUCCCGACGAAGUCA